GCCCAUAAGAGGGGGAGUAACAUCCGGAAACGGGUGCUAAUACCGCAUAGUUUUCUUGAUCGCAUGAUUGAGAAAGGAAAGACGGCCUUUGUGCUGUCGCUUAUGGAUGGACCCGCGGCGUAUUAGUUAGUUGGUGAGGUAAUGGCUCACCAAGACGAUGAUACGUAGCCGACCUGAGAGGGUGAUCGGCCACAUUGGGACUGAGACACGGCCCAAACUCCUACGGGAGGCAGCAGUAGGGAAUCUUCCGCAAUGGACGAAAGUCUGACGGAGCAACGCCGCGUGAGUGAAGAAGGUUUUCGGGAAUCGUAAAACUCUGUUGUCAGAGAAGAACAAGUUGGAGAGUAACUGCUCCAGCCUUGACGGUAUCUGACCAGAAAGCCACGGCUAACUACGUGCCAGCAGCAGC
rnacentral:rRNA from 1 species